rnacentral:rRNA from 1 species
CGCUGGCGGCGUGCCUAACACAUGCAAGUCGAACGAGGUCCAUGAGAGCUUGCUCUCAGAAGACCUAGUGGCGAACGGGUGAGUAACACGUGAGAAACCUGCCUCGGAGUGGGGAAUAACUCGGGGAAACUCGAGCUAAUACCGCAUAUCUUCACAUGAUCGCAUGGUCGAGUGAAGAAAGAAUUUCGCUCUGAGAGGGUCUCGCGGCCUAUCAGCUUGUUGGUGGGUAACGGCCCACCAAGGCAACGACGGGUAGCUGGUUUGAGAGAACGAUCAGCCACACUGGGACUGAGACACGGCCCAGACUCCUACGGGAGGCAGCAGUGGGGAAUCUUGCGCAAUGGGCGAAAGCCUGACGCAGCAACGCCGCGUGCGGGAUGACGGCCUUCGUGGUUGUAAACCGCUUUCAGCAGGGACGAAAAUGACGGUACCUGCAGAAGAAGCCCCGGCUAACUACGUG